rnacentral:rRNA from 1 species
AGGCUUUGAUCCUGGCUCAGAAUGAACGUUGGCGACGUGGAUUAGGCAUGCAAGUCGAGCGAGAAGUUUCCUUCGGGAGACGGACAGCGGCGAAAGGGAGAGGAAUACGUAGAAAUCUACCCCUGAGUCCGGGAUAGCGUCGGGAAACUGGCAGUAAUACCGGAUAACGUCUUCGGACCAAAGGUGUGAUUCCGCUCGGGGAUGAGUCUACGCCCUAUUAGCUAGUUGGUGGGGUAAUGGCCUACCAAGGCAAUGAUGGGUAGCGGGUGUGAGAGCAUGACCCGCCUCACUGGGACUGAGACACUGCCCAGACACAUACGGGUGGCUGCAGUCGAGAAUCUUUGUCAAUGGACGAAAGUCUGAACAAGCGACGCCGCGUGCGGGAUGAAGGCCUUCGGGUUGUAAACCGCUGUCGUAGGGGAACAAAUGUAGAGGGGUUCUCCCCAUUUAUUGAGUGAUCUUAGGAGGAAGGAC